AUUUAUUCUCUUUUUGAAGGAUAGUUUUUUAUGCCAUUUCCUCAUUAAUUAUUUUAAAUUUAAUUUAGCUUAGAUUCAAUAUCUAGUAUCCUGAUAUCACAGAAAGAAUUUAUCAUACAUAAUUCAUCAAAGAUUAAGACGAAAUAUAUAUUGAAAAAUAUAAACACAAUUUUAAAACAGUAAAAAGAAAUUAAGUAGAAGGAUGAAUCUCAUGCUCUAAAAUAAACCCCUAUAGUCUUGAGAUUUUUGCUUGUUUAUGGAGUAAGGAGAUACAGCAUUCCCUACCCACCUAGUUUGCUCACCUGCAGUUAAGAAAACCGUCAUCUGCCAACAUAGGACCUCCAAGGCCUGAGCCAAUCCUAACAAAUCCUGGAAGAACAGUCACAAAAUUAUCCAAACACAUAGGUAGGAAGUAACAGUAGUCAUGCAACUUUUAGAUCUGCUAUGCAGGAAUUUGGGGCCAUCUCCUCAGUGAUCUGCUUAUUUUGCAAAAUGUACCGUCCUCUUUUCUUCACCAAAUGUUUUUCUUGUACUUAUACUUGGGUUUCCUUCCCAAUUUAUGAUUUAAUUACAACAUCUUUCUCCAGUCUGCAAGUAGGAGGAACAAAAUCUUCCCUAGAUUUUGCCAGCUUUUCUGUUUCUCGAGGGGUGAUUCUUUUUACUAUGCUUCUGAAUAUUAUCUGAGCUCCACUGUAACUAGAUGUGAACCAACUAGCUUUAGAACAAUCCACUGACCAGAAGACAACACUACCUACCCUUAUCUUCCACUUAUUGUUCUUACAAGAUACCCAUACAUUAACUACUUUUGCUAACAUUCAGGCCAACUUGAGGCUUUAAUAUGUUCUUGACCAUUAUUAAUUGGUGCCUAGAAGAAAACUAUCCUCAGAUACAAUUCUCAUGUUCCAAGGUCUGCAUGAUUCUUUUCUUCACCAUUUUCCCUCACUGUUUUUGUUCAUUAUGUUAAAUUGUUGUAUUUAGUUUGUUUUCUGCUUUACCUAUGGAUUUCACUGAAGACAGAUGUUUGACUAUAUUUGGAACAUACUUAUUUUGAACCAAUUCGAAAAUACAUAUGUGAUGCAUUUUCUCCAAAAUUAAUUUUUUAAAUCACUCUUCAAAAAUCAUUUCAUUUCAAUU
rnacentral:lncRNA from 1 species